rnacentral:lncRNA from 1 species
UCUCCUCCAUCUCCACCAACCUCUCCAGUUCUUCCCUUAAUGCUCUACGUUUAUCCUUCUCCUCCCCAGCCAACCUUCGACUCUCCUCCCACCUAUCCAACUCAUCUAUCUCCGAAAGGCACUGAAUUUUACGACAGUUCACAUUGCCCACAACCUCCUCAUUCCAUUUCUUUAAAUCCCUUUUCAAAGACUUCAACUUCUGAUCCAACACAAAACUAGGAGACCCUCUAACAUCGUAAGAUGUCCACCAAGUCUGUACUUGCUCCCUAAAACCUUCGACUUUCAACCACAUUUUCUCGAACCUAAA